AUACUGAUGAAGAGUCCCAAAUCGGGACGAAACACAUGUACAAUAU
rnacentral:hammerhead_ribozyme from 1 species